GACGAACGCUGGCGGCGUGCCUAACACAUGCAAGUCGAGCGGAGAUGAUGUGAGGAAGUUUUCGGAUGGAAUCACAUUAUUUUAGCGGCGGACGGGUGAGUAACGCGUGAGCGACCAACCUUGCACAGGGGGAUAACGGACCGAAAGGUUCACUAAUACCGCAUGAGACCACGGUGUUGCAUGACACAGGGGUCAAAGGAGGAAUCCGGUGCAAGACGGGCUCGCGUCCGAUUAGGUAGUUGGAGGGGUAACGGCCCACCAAGCCUAUGAUCGGUAGCCGACCUGAGAGGGUGAUCGGCCACAUUGGAACUGAGAUACGGUCCAAACUCCUACGGGAGGCAGCAGUGGGGAAUAUUGGGCAAUGGGGGAAACCCUGACCCAGCAACGCCGCGUGAAGGAAGAAGGUUUUCGGAUUGUAAACUUCUGUCCUUGGUGAAGAGAAGAAGACGGUAGCCAAGGAGGAAGCCCCGGACUAACUACGUG
rnacentral:rRNA from 1 species